rnacentral:piRNA from 1 species
UCACCAGCCCGCCUUGGAGUCAGCUUCUGU